CUUGCAUCUGUUGAGCUGCACGAAGGAAGGAAAACAACACCAUGGCAUUCUUGGGGGCUGUGGGCUGGCAUUUUCAGGACAUUUUCAGAUUAUUUCUCCUAAACAUGGAAAAGGCAAUUUUUGGACUGCACUACACAGAAAAAAUCAGCCAG
rnacentral:lncRNA from 11 species